UGAAGAAAACAGAGAAGAAGGAGGGACGUUCGCUUAAACACG
rnacentral:sRNA from 1 species